UUUAGUUUAGGUUUUUAAGGAGUUGCUGUUUUUUUUAAGAUCUUAUGUUUUAAGGGAUAAGCUUUAAAGUUAAUUUAUAAGAAAAGUAAUUUUUAGUUUUUUAGUAGGCUUGGAAUUGGUCAUAAGAUAGUGUUUUAAGAUAGAAAAUUUAGAUUGAAAUUUUGUUUUCUUUUUGUUUUAUAAAGUUAAUUAUAAAAUUAUUUAAGUGUUGGAAAUAUGAUAGUAUAAGUAGAAGAAAAAAUAAAAUUUUUUUUGUUUAAAAUGAAUUAUGAUUUAUAAUAAAAGAAUUCGGCAAAUGGGAUUUCCGAAUGUUUAACAGAAACAUUUCCUCUUACGUAAGGGAGGUAAGACCUGCUCACUGAAAGUUUAAAGAGCCGCAGUAAUUUGACUGUGCUAAGGUAGCAUAAUCAUUAGUCUUUUAAUUGGGGACUGGUAUGAAUGGUUAAACGAGAAAUCAACUUUUUUUGUUGUAGAAUUUGAAUUUAAUUUUUUAGUGAAAAGGCUGAAAUUUUUCAGAAAGACGAGAAGACCCUAUAGAGUUUUAUAUUAUUGAGGGUUUUUUAAGUUGGAUUUUUAUAAUAAAAAUUUUUAAUAGUAUUUUGUUGGGGCGACAUUUAGAUAAAAGAAACUCUUUAUUUUAAAAACUUUUAUAGAAGAAUUAUUUGAUCCUUUAAAAGAGAUUAAAAGAAAAAAUUACCUUAGGGAU
rnacentral:rRNA from 1 species